AGUAUGGAAAUAUUUUCCACUAAGAAGUGUGAUCCUGCCUGGUAAGACUCCCUUCAUCCAAAUCCUUUCUGGAUUGCAAGGCCAUCAGAGGCUCAUGGCUGGGAAGAGCUGAUUUAGGCUUGUUUGGGGGCACCAUGUCUGCUUGAGCCUAAAGGAGAACAGGUGGGAGAGCUCCUCAGAGAUUUCUUCUGCUCUGUAUAAGCCACUGGAACAAAAGAAAUGACAACGGCGAGUUCACCAUGUGUGCAAAUUCCUUUAUCUUCUGGGAAAAUGUGGAGUUUACAUCAUAAACCAGAGGCCUGUAGUAAGUUCUGAGGCCACUUCUGUCACCCCUACAGAAGGAUCCUCUGUCAGCCAUCCGGUGUGUUUCCUUGCCAAACUGCCAGUAUGAGGAAAAGUAGGAUUUUGUGUGAUGCUGUGUGUGAUGUCAGGUAGCUGUGGGCAAAGAGUGAUUUUCAGCAGACAUUUUCUAAGGAAAGAAACAUCCAAGAUGUUGUCUAGCAGAGAAUGAUGGCUAAAGGCAAAGGAAAAGGAUACCCCAAGAUGGAAAAACUGAUACUUCAAUGUGCAAUGGUAACAUACCCCAUGUGAGCGAGAAGUUCAAGGUCCCCCUUAUUUAAAGUGUUUAGGACAUGGAGUGAUGCAGGGGUGGAGCACAGAAGGAGACAAAAAUCUCUGCAUGCUCACUGAGACUUGAAGACAGCUCUUGAAGAAGCCUCUUGCAGAAAGAGAUUUUAAGGAAAAAAGUGGAGAAGCAACUGUGGUGGUGUAGAUUUGGAUUCAGGCAAAGCUCAAUGUGGGCACUGAAUAAGGACAAUUCCUUUGGCAGGUGACAUGGAGUGGUGUGACUGUCCUGUCACCAUGCUGACCUGAAAUCUCACAUGAUCUGGCUGAUGUGAUCAAAUGAAUGUUUCUUUCCACUUGACUGCAGCUUCUCUGAAAGUAACAAGCCCCAGUCUCUGGGGUGAAAGUAGAAUUUUGCUCCUCAUUAUUACAGAUUAUUAUAUUUCCUGUGCCAGUCACUGGAAACCUGCCUGAAAAGACAUAGAUCCCCGUGGAGCAGCAGCCAGAACCUGGAUCCCAAAGCAUCCCUGAAAGGGCUGCACGAUGGUAAGUGCUGGGUCAUUCUGAAGCACUUCCAAGCCAUGACUGUUAUUUUUCUCUGCUAAAAACCAUUAAAAAACUCUGAGGAGUAACACAAAUAACAGGGAUGAAAGCCUGAUCUUUGUCAGCAAUCCAGACACUGACUGCAUUGUAGUUUCAGCAGCAGGCAUGUGGCUGACUUAAAAUCAAGGAGGCAAAAUAUUAUAGGAGCACUCAAUGCAGCCAUGGAAAACUAGGAUUUAACCCUUUUUCAGCCUAACCAGUUGCAGCUUGGAGUGAACAGUGGCCAUGUAUUUUGUAAAGGAGGAGCUGUUUUUGUUUUUGUUUAAAAAGAGCAUUCAGAUCAGCUGAGUUUGAGCCAAUGCUGAAAACAGAGCUGCCAAAUUUAUCAUUGACCAGAAGAUUUGUAUGGGGCUAAAGGAGGUUGGUACAGAGAGAUUAGAAGCAGAUUAUCAGCAUGCUUUUAGCUUUAUCUGUUUCUAGAAGCAAAUAAUUAGCCUCAGAAACAACUUCAUCUUAAAAUAAGUUCUAAAAUAUAAAUUAUUGGUGUGAAAAGACUGAUACAAGUUUCAGGAACUGUUCUUUUUGCCAGAAGGAAUUAAUUCCCCAAGGACUUAGUUUCAAUCAACGUGGUUCCCGUAACUCUGCCACGAAAAACCAAUUUCAGGAAACUCAUUUAGUUCCUUAUUUCAAAUCCUCCCUGCAGCCUGCCUGUAGAAGAGGGGAAAAAAAGAAACAGUUCUGAUGACAGAAAUGGGGUCAUGCAGCUUCUGGAGCUUUGUUACUAAAUGGAGAAAAUUGCCAUUUCUUUUUCCUUUUUUUUUUUUUUUUUCUUUUUUUUAAUUUUCUGUUUUUUGGGAGUUGGGGCAGAAGGAGGGAGAUAAAGUGGUUUGAUUGACCUUGUUUGCUGAAUUGAGUGACAGGAGCAGCCCCCAGCAGGAACACUGGGCUUAUCUCAUCCAGAAGAGAUUGUCACCCAGGGAAAUGAGCAUAAUCAAGUCGAGAAAUGGCAUUAAUUUGUGCUUGUGCCAUGUGUGGUCCUGAUAACUUUGGAAAUGAAGGAACUGCCCAUGGUUUGUCAGCAAUACCCAAGUUCCCUUAUGUUCUCCAUGGCAGCCUGGGUGUCUGAUGUCACCUCUUACAGCUUAAAAAGCCAUGUGGAAAGCAUUAUAGGAUUUUUGGCAACAAUGGGGAAAAAGUGGUUGGUUGAAAAUGGUUAUGUUUAUAUGUUUUUCAAAGCAAUGAAGAUUCAAGUAGUUUCCUUGUGCUCUGUUCCCUUAUGUUGCUUUGAAAGCUCCCAUUAAAGAAAUAAUGCACCUUUCAGGAGAGCAGACAUGAGUCCUUUUACAUAUUUGAGAACUUAGAAAAAAUUAUUGGAAAAAAAUUAGCUUAAAAUAAAAUAUUGUCUCAUAUCUCAACAUAGGCAAAGUGAUAAAGGCAAAUGAGAAAUGAAACCUCUUUGUACACUGACUAGAUAUUAGAGAGGAUUUUAUAAGACAAAACUUUAUGCAUAACCCUCACUAUGAUGAUUAAGAAAUCAGACCUUUCCAGCUAACAUGAUGGGCUUUUUAGCAAACUUGAAAACUGCUGAUUUUGUCCAGCCUCCUUCUUUCCUGGGGAAACAUCUCCCAUGUUGUGCCUCCAGCACUGUUAAAUUCUCUUCUGCCUCCCCAUUCUGGCUAUUCCCACCUGGUGGAAUCCACAUUUCCAGGGGAACACAAAUCCUCAGGAGCAGGAUCAGAAGGUAAGGCUGAGGUCUGCAGUGUGUCUGUGCCAGCAGAGCAUCCCUGACCUUCCCCUUUGUAAGGAAGAGCUGGCAAAAACGUGGACCUUGCUGCAGGGUUAGUACUGGCACAUUGCAUGGAAACAUUUGUGCCACUGGAGAUUCACCACCAACCAAGGUUUUUCAUUUCCCAUAUGACAGUGUCCCCUGUCCCCUCUGACAGCUGAGUCACUCUUGGUGACUUAGGACUUAGCGAAUUUUUCCUAGGUGGUUUUAAGUCCAGGAAUCCAAUUGUUACCAGGAAAUCCAGGACAAUGCAGGAAAAGCAGAUUCUCAAUAAAAUGCAAGUUCACCCCCAACUCCCUCCAAGUCACUUGCUGAAUAAGAAGCUGCAUUUUUUUCACAAGGACAUCCUGAUUGCUCUACUGACACUGCUUCAGGGAAGGUGACAGUGCCAUGCCUGGUGGGAGAUGAGGGAGGAACAAAAGCAUCCUCCAGCAGCCUGCUGGAGGCUCCCAGUUCAGGGAGACCAGGGACAGACCACUGGCCUGUCCAGGCAGUGGCUUUGGUCAGGGUGUGAUGCCUGCUUGGAUGGCAUGAGCUGCCUC